AAGUCGAUUGAUCUGACAUUGAGGUUGGAGAAAUCAUCAAAAGGUUGAGCUAUUAAAAUUUGCAGUAUGGUACAAAAGGA